rnacentral:rRNA from 1 species
UACGUAGGGGGCUAGCGUUGUCCGGAAUCAUUGGGCGUAAAGCGCGCGUAGGCGGCCAGAUAAGUCCGGUGUGAAAGUCACAGGCUCAACCUAUGAAUGCCGCUGGAAACUGUCUGGCUAGAGUCCGGAAGGGGCGAGUGGAAUUCCUGGUGUAGCGGUGAAAUGCGCAGAUAUCAGGAGGAACACCAAUGGCGAAGGCAGCUCGCUGGAACGGUACUGACGCUGAGGCGCGAAAGCGUGGGGAGCGAACAGG